rnacentral:rRNA from 1 species
CUGACGAGCGGCGGACGGGUGAGUAAUGCAUAGGAAUCUGCCCGAUAGUGGGGGAUAACCUGGGGAAACCCAGGCUAAUACCGCAUACGUCCUACGGGAGAAAGGGGGCUCCGGCUCCCGCUAUGGGAUGAGCCUAUGUCGGAUUAGCUAGUUGGUGAGGUAACGGCUCACCAAGGCCACGAUCCGUAGCUGGUCUGAGAGGAUGAUCAGCCACAUCGGGACUGAGACACGGCCCGAACUCCUACGGGAGGCAGCAGUGGGGAAUAUUGGACAAUGGGGGAAACCCUGAUCCAGCCAUGCCGCGUGUGUGAAGAAGGCCCUCGGGUUGUAAAGCACUUUCAGCGAGGAAGAACGCCUAGCGGUUAAUACCCGCUAGGAAAGACAUCACUCGCAGAAGAAGCACCGGCUAACUCCGUGCCAGCAGCCGCGGUAAUACGGAGGGU